AGCAAGCGGACAAAGGCAUACACGGCGGCCGAGGACAAGCUUCUUUGCGAGUGUUGGCGAUACAUUGGACAAGACCCCAAGACGGGUGCCGAACAAAAGCAUUCAACUCUUUGGAUUCGUGUCCACCGGUAGUUUCAUGAGGGCAAGAAGUUUCCGCCUUACCAAAUAGUGAGCACGCGCGGGUGGGUGUCCAUUUCGACGCGAUGA
rnacentral:rRNA from 1 species